UACGUAGGCGGGUAAUUAAGUCAGAGGUGAAAUCCCACAGCUUAACUGUGGAACUGCCUUAGAUACUGGUUAUCUUGAGUUUUAGUGAAGUAGAUAGAAUGUGUAGUGUAGCGGUGAAAUGCAUAGAUAUUACACAGAAUACCGAUUGCGAAGGCAGUCUACUAACUAACAACUGACGCUAAUGGACGAAAGCGUGGGGAGCGAACAGGAUUAGAUACCCUGGUAGUCC
rnacentral:rRNA from 1 species